rnacentral:sRNA from 1 species
UGAUGUCUAUGCGCCAUUUCGGAACCA